CCUACGGGUGGCAGCAGUGGGGAAUAUUGGACAAUGGGCGAAAGCCUGAUCCAGCCAUGCCGCGUGUGUGAAGAAGGCCUUCGGGUUGUAAAGCACUUUCAGUGGGGAAGAAAGCCUUGGGGCUAAUACCCUCGAGGAAGGACAUCACCUACAGAAGAAGCACCGGCUAACUCCGUGCCAGCAGCCGCGGUAAUACGGAGGGUGCGAGCGUUAAUCGGAAUUACUGGGCGUAAAGCGCGCGUAGGCGGUCUGAUAAGCCGGUUGUGAAAGCCCCGGGCUCAACCUGGGAACGGCAGCCGGAACUGUCAGGCUAGAGUGCAGGAGAGGAAAGUAGAAUUCCCGGUGUAGCGGUGAAAUGCGUAGAGAUCGGGAGGAAUACCAGUGGCGAAGGCGGCCUUCUGGACUGACACUGACGCUGAGGUGCGAAAGCGUGGGUAGCAAACAGGAUUAGAUACCCUGGUAGUC
rnacentral:rRNA from 1 species